CGGGUGAGUAACACGUGGAUAACCUACCUAUAAGACUGGGAUAACUUCGGGAAACCGGAGCUAAUACCGGAUAAUAUUUUGAACCGCAUGGCUCAAAAGUGAAAGACGGUCUUGCUGUCACUUAUAGAUGGAUCCGCGCUGCAUUAGCUAGUUGGUAAGGUAACGGCUUACCAAGGCAACGAUGCAUAGCCGACCUGAGAGGGUGAUCGGCCACACUGGAACUGAGACACGGUCCAGACUCCUACGGGAGGCAGCAGUU
rnacentral:rRNA from 1 species